rnacentral:rRNA from 1 species
CCUACGGGUGACAGCAGUGGGGAAUCUUGGACAAUGGGGGGAACCCUGAUCCAGCGACGCCGCGUGAGUGAAUAAGUAUUUCGGUAUGUAAAGCUCUAUCAGCAGGGAAGAAAAUGACGGUACCUGACUAAGAAGCCCCGGCUACCUACUUUCCAGCCGCCACGGUAAUACGUAGGGGGCAAGCGUUAUCCGGAUUUACUGGGGGUAAAGGGAGCGUAGACGGUGCAGCCAUUCUGAUGUGAAAGGUCGGGGCCCAACCCCGGGCCUGCAUUGGAAACUGUUGAACUGGAGUACAGGAGAGGGAAGCGGAAGUCCGAGGGUAGCGGUGAAAUGCGUAGAUAUGAGGAGGAACACCAGUGGCGAAGGCGGCUUACUGGACUGUAACUGACGUUGAGGCUCGAAAGCGUGGGGAGCAAACAGGAUUAGAUACCCGAGUAGUC